CUUUCCUCUAUAAAUACCUUAUGCUUGCCUCUCUUGCUUCUUGUGAACUAGGUGAACAAAAGCUAAAUCUGAACAUAUUCAAGAGCAAAGAAAAGAGCAAAGAGCAAAGAGUAUUGUAGAGAUAUUUGCGAGAGUCCUUCUUCAUCUUUGUGAUUUAUCAUAUGGAAGGAACUCUAUUGAGCUUAUUUGAUACCAACCACAACUUUCUUUUUAGAAAGGGAAAAGUCUCUCGAGUGAAGAGAGCAAGGAAGUCUUCCGAGUGAAGGAAGCAAAUAAAUCUCUUGGUGAGUGAAGCUAGGAGUAACCCCACCUUUGGUUUGUUAAAGGGAAAGUCUUCCGAGUGAAGGGAGCAAUGAAAUCUCUUGGUGAGUGAAGCCAGGAGUAACCCCACCUUUGGUUUGUUAAAGGGAAAGUCUUCCGAAUGAAGGGAGCAAGGAAAUCUCUUGGUCAGUGAAGCCAUGAGUUGAUCGUAGAAGUCAGAUUGGUGUGCUUUGGAUUGCGAACGGCGCAAGUCUAGUAGGAGCAUCGAGGAGAAGGUUUCUCACUUAGGAUUGUGUCCUUAGAUUGUCAGUUAGUAUCAAGUCUAGUAGUCAAGCAAGGAGAAGGUAUCUCUUGUAACACCGACUUUGCGAUUAUUGGAAAU
rnacentral:lncRNA from 1 species